GUCCCAAGGGGUAGUGGUCUA
rnacentral:miRNA from 1 species